rnacentral:rRNA from 1 species
GACGGGGGAUGCAAGCGUUAUCCGGAAUCACUGGUCGUAAAGCGUCUGUAGGUGGUGAUGCAAGUCACUGGUGCAAAACUCUGGCUCAACCGGAGGAAAGCCAGUGAAACUGCAUGACUAGAGUGUGGGAGAGGUAGAAGGAAUUCCCUGAGUAGCGGUGAAAUGCGUAGAUACAGGGAAGAACACCGGAGGCGAAAGCGUUCUACUGGAACACAACUGACACUGAGAGACGAAAGCUAGGCGAGCUAAUGGG